UACGAAGGGGGCUAGCGUUGCUCGGAAUUACUGGGCGUAAAGCGCACGUAGGCGGCUUCUUAAGUCGGUGGUGAAAUCCUGGAGCUCAACUCCAGAACUGCCUUCGAUACUGGGAAGCUCGAGUCCGGGAGAGGUGAGUGGAACUGCGAGUGUAGAGGUGAGAUUCGUAGAUAUUCGCAAGAACACCAGUGGCGAAGGCGGCUCACUGGCCCGGUACUGACGCUGAGGUGCGAAAGCGUGGGGAGCAAACAGG
rnacentral:rRNA from 1 species